rnacentral:rRNA from 1 species
ACGUAGGAGGCAAGCGUUAUUCGGAUUUACUGGGCGUAAAGCGCGUGCAGGCGGUUUGGUAAGUUGGAUGUGAAAGCUCCCGGCCUAACUGGGAGAGGUCGUUCAAUACUACCAGACUAGAGGAUGGGAGAGGGAGGUGGAAUUCCGGGUGUAGUGGUGAAAUGCGUAGAUAUCCGGAGGAACACCAGUGGCGAAAGCGGCCUCCUGGCCCAUUUCUGACGCUCAGACGCGAAAGCUAGGGUAGCAAACGG